GACGAACGCUGGCGGCGUGCUUAACACAUGCAAGUCGAACGGUGAACCGGGCUUCGGCCUGGGGAUCAGUGGCGAACGGGUGCGUAACACGUGGGCAACCUGCCUCAGACACUGGGAUAACCCCGGGAAACCGGGGCUAAUACCGGAUACUCCGACCGGACUGCAUGAUCCGGCCGGGAAAGCUCCGACGGUCUGAGAUGGGCCCGCGGCCUAUCAGCUUGUUGGUGGGGUAACGGCCCACCAAGGCGACGACGGGAGCUGGUCUGAGAGGCGACCGGCCACACUGGGACUGAGACACGGCCCAGACUCCUACGGGAGGCAGCAGUGGGGAAUCUUGCGCAAUGGGCGAAAGCCUGACGCAGCGACGCCGCGUGAGGGAUGAC
rnacentral:rRNA from 1 species